GGGAGCCUCAGGAAAACAAAACGUAAAGUUACAGCCCACAAAACAGAACACAGGAAAUGGACCUUCAAAAUAACAGCACAGACAAUACCAACCGCCACAUCUACUUUAAAGUCAGAUGUUGAAUAAAAUAAAAAAAUAAGUGAAAAUUUAAUGAAGUUCCUCUUCAAUCAUUUUCCUUAGGUUGUUGUUUUUUUCUGGCCACAUGAGCCAACCCGACGUUCAUGUUAGUCCUCUUAUUUACAAUUAUUAACAGUUAUUAUUACUGUUUUUUCUUCAAACCUGCUUCUAAGUGACCAAUUGCAAUUAUCUGAUACUUGAAAACCUUGUCAACAUGGUAAACAAAUUAGCUUAGCAUCAACAUAGUCUUAACAUUGUGAUAAUGUUAGCAUGCUGACACUAACGUGUGCACAUAGCCACUCGCGUAGCUCCAGACACUUUGUCCUGUUCAAUAAAUUAAAUACAUUGUGUGUCCCUCUGAGACUAUUUUCUAUUUUCUAUAUUACAUAUUUGUACAUGUGGGGGGAACCCGGAGAACACACGACCUCCACACAGAAAGGCACCAACCAGAUGUGGAUUAUUGAGUGAGGUGACGCUGCUAACCAGUGCACCACCACGCCCGCCUUGUUUCUUCAUGUUGUGUUCCUGUCCCGUUGUUCAAAGGAACCUCUCCUCUCUGAUGUGAAGUCUCCUCCUUCUUCCACUUCUUUUGUUUCCUUCAACCCAAAAAGUGCCGUGUUCGUUUCCAGAUAGAAGUCUUCCUCGUUGUCUCUGAGAGCUCCUCAUCAGGGGCUUCAGCCUCCUCUGUGGAUUCGAGGGACGGUGUGUUGGUGCUGGUGGAUGGCUUCUCCUCCGCGAUUUCAGCAGCUUGAGCCUCUUUCAGGGGUGCGGUGGUGGCUUCUUGCUGGGGAGGUCGACCCUCUUCUCUCUCAGCCUCAAGCUCAAUGAACAGCUCAAGGUUGAGAGAGUUUUCAGCUCCUCCAGUUCUCUCCUGACCAGUCUCUCCUUCUCCAAGACGUUUUGCUGCCAGCCGUUCAUCUCCUCCGCCGUCUUUUGACGAACGGCGUGCUGCUCAGCCCUCAAGGUGUCGAUCACACACUGGCAUUCUGACACCGUGUCAGUGUGAGACUUGAUCUCCUUCUCAAGCUCACGCUGAAGGAUGUCAGCCCGCUGUCUGGCGGUGAUGAGAUCAGUUUGAUAGCUUUGGCUGAUCUCCUGGUGUUGAAUCUUGGUCCUUUCCAGUUCGUCUUGGAGAAGCUUGUUCUUCUCCUUCUUCUCCUGCAGUUCAGCUGUGGACCUCUGCUGGCUGAGAGUAUACACCACCUGCAUCUCCUCACGGUGUUUCUGGAGGAGAUUCUUCUGCUCAAUCUCCUUCUCAAGCUCAGACUGAAGGCUGUCAGCCUGCUGUCUGACACUGAAGUCAGUGUACAAACUGAGGCUGACCUCUUGAUGUGAAGGCCUGACUGUCCAGUUCUUCUUGGAGAGCCAGUAUCUCUCACCUGUGUGGUGAUCUUUGCAGCGUCCAGAGUUUCUGGAUUGGUUGGAUGUGCAGUGCGAGUGCUCUCUGGUCCUCAGAUAGAGACGUCUGUGAUGUUUCCUGAGGUCAAACGGUCGUCUGCUGAUGGUGAGAGACACUUCCAAAGCCACAGAUUUAUACAUUCAUGGUCACUUUAUAACUCAUGUGUUUUGUUUGAGUUUUCCAGGUUUGUUUGAGGAAUCUGAGCCUGAUGACAAUGAUUCCAGUGUCACUUGGAUCAUUGUGUGUGUGUUCGUGGUCUUCAGUGUCUGUUGUGUUGCAGUCAUCAUCUCAGUCCUGCUUCUACAACAACAAAAGAAAAGGGACUCUGAGGACGUCAUGUCUACUGGGACAACAGAAAAAGUGGACUCGUCAACAGCAUCAUCUGGGACAGCAAAGCAUCAGCUGUUUUAAGUUCUCACUCUGCCUACAGCAACUAUUUUGGUCAAAGAGUCGUUGGUCAAUUUUGGACUAAGGAUGCAAUUGAGGGCAGAUGAAGUAUGUAUGUUGCUGUGGUAAAUGUUGGAGCCAGAUUGAACAAAAUGAGAGUUUUCUGGAGAAAAGCCUGAAAAUACUAAAACUUUUAUGUGUAACCUUUAUUUUUUAUGUCAGGGAAACACUUUAUGAGCUCCAUGUGGAAUGUAGCUGCCUUUGAUAUGUAUUUGUAUUUUGUACAUGCAUUUUAAUAAAAUGUCAGUUUUCAGAUCUCCAUUUCUGGAGGUGAA